UGAAAGACUUAAGAACUCUGAUCAAUGCAAUGACCAGCCAUGGCUGCUGAGGACCAGUGAUGAAGCAUGCUGUCCAUCCCCUGACAGAGGGGUGAUGGACAAAAGAGAAUGGCUUCUGAGGAGGCCCUGGAAUCCGAACUCAGUGGAGGAGAGAGCGAGGCUGAUGACUUCGCCCAGCUGCCAGUGCAUGUGCAGCUCCAUCCAUUGUGACUAUUUCUGCCCUCUGGAAUCAAGCAGAAUAAACUUUUUUCGACUUGAAGACAGCUGUCAUAUUCCCUCCUCCAAAUGGUCCCUUCCCCAGGCUAAGCAUCCCUUCGAUGCAUCCUCACAAAGCAUGAUUUGAAGAUUCCUUACUGGUUCGGUGUCCAGAAUCUCUACAUCUGAUCAAUGACAUGUAAGCUAAAGACAGAACUGGUCGGUUACACCACGGAAGACCACCAUGGUACCUUG